GACGAACGCUGGCGGCGUGCCUAAUACAUGCAAGUGGGACGCAAGGGAACACACUGUGCUUGCACACCGUGUUUUCUUGAGUCGCGAACGGGUGAGUAACGCGUAGGUAACCUGCCUAUUAGCGGGGGAUAACUAUUGGAAACGAUAGCUAAUACCGCAUAAUAUUAAUUAUUGCAUGAUAAUUGAUUGAAAGAUGCAAGCGCAUCACUAGUAGAUGGACCUGCGUUGUAUUAGCUAGUUGGUAAGGUAAGAGCUUACCAAGGCGACGAUACAUAGCCGACCUGAGAGGGUGAUCGGCCACACUGGGACUGAGACACGGCCCAGACUCCUACGGGAGGCAGCAGUAGGGAAUCUUCGGCAAUGGACGAAAGUCUGACCGAGCAACGCCGCGUGAGUGAAGAAGGUUUUCGGAUCGUAAAGCUCUGUUGUAAGUCAAGAACGUGUGUGAGAGUGGAAAGUUCACACAGGGACG
rnacentral:rRNA from 1 species